rnacentral:misc_RNA from 1 species
UACAUAUUGUCUCAGCAAAAAGACAAAAUAAAGAUGACAAAUUUAAAAAAGGUGAGAGUAGAACGAAUUUGAAUUAAAAGAAAUCCAGUACUUCAGAAAUUGUAUAUCGUUUGUAUAACGAUAAAUAUAAAAGAAUAAAAGAGAAGCUGCUAAUUUAAUCACCGUUGCAACUUAACCACAGUACUGGACACACUAGCGCUGAAAACGCGAAUAACGUCUGUCUGAUCGUACGCUUUUCAGUGAGCCGCGUCAGUUCGAUAAAGACCACAGUGGACCACAGUGAUUUACGGAGAGGAAGGCAAUAGACAUCGAAUGUAAUUAUCAAAUGUGCCUUCGAUUGAGCACAGUUAUCACUGAAGCACAAGUUUAUUACUGAAAAAAGAUUUGCUCGAUUAGCGAAUUAUCAGCGGACGAAGAGAAAUGGAAAAGACAGACGAGAACGAACAUAAUGCGUUGCGAGAAGUUUUAAGUGACGAAGAAUUGACGCAAAUCCCGGAAGGAUUCGUUAAGAAAUUAAAUGCGUUUUUCAACGAAAAAUUCGAACAGUACAUUACAGCUAAGGCGGUUUUUGAAACCAACAGGAAGAACUUUGACCACACUUCAGAAAAAUUACAAAAAGAGUUAACAGAAGAAAAGUCAAAUUUUGAGGAAUGCAAAGGAAAACUGACAUUAUCAGAGAAAUAUACUGAUGAAUUACAGUCUAGUUUGGAUGAAGCCAAAGGUGAAAUACAGAAAUUACAAGACACUGUUAAAAGAUUGGAAAAAGAAAAUGCAGACUUACGUAGACAUAGAGAUACAGUUGUGGAUGAGAGAGAUGCAUUGCAAUUGCAGGUUGAAAGACGAGAUACAGAAAUUGAACGAAUGCAUACAGAAUUAUCUUCCCUGGGAACACAGCUUCAAAAUGCUAUUGCUGCUAAAUGUCAAGCUUUAUCAGAAACAGAGGAAAUUCGGAGUCGUGACAUGACUCUUGACUUUAAAGAAAAACGAUUAGAGCAAGAAAGAGCUUUGAUUCAGCAACAAAUGGCAGGACUUGAGGAGGAAUUAGCAAAAAGAAUGUCAGAAUUGCAGGCAACAAGAGCAGAAGCAUCUGCGCGAGCUCUUUUAACUGACACUCGCUUGUCACAACGCGACGAAGAAUUACGUAUCGCUAAUGAAGCAGCAUCACAGUUGCGAGAGUCUUAUACAUCUAUCCAAAGACGCUGCGACGAGCUCGCUCAGAAACUAGAAGAACAGCGUACUCAAGAAAUUUCUAUGCAUGCUUCUUAUAGAGAAGAAAUUGGUGCCCAAACCAGAUUGGCUGAUCUUUACAAAGGUAUGGCCGAUGAAGCAAAUGCAAAGGCAGAAGAGUAUAGCAGUGCAGUUAAAGAACUUCAAGAACUAUUGGAACAUGCAACUGAACAAUAUGGAGCACUAGAAACUACACACAAUCAACUUCAGUUACAGCACAAAGAAGAGUUAGAAGAAAAGGAACAAAAGAUAGAUGAGCUCUCAAAAGAAUUGAUUCAUGCCAAUGAAUUACUUAAAAAUAUUAAACAAGAGAGAUUGGAUCAAGCUGUUGAACAACUUGCACCAACAGCAGCCAUAGCCAGUCGUGUGCUUAGGAAAGGUUUAAGCCUUACUCAAAUCUAUACACAGUUGGUUGAAGUGACAAAUGAAUUAACGUCAGAACGUAAUGAAAAAGAAAGCUUGAAAUCUCAGAUGGACGUUAUCUUACGAGAAUUGGAAGAAAAAGCGCCCAUUUUACAGCAACAACGUGAAGAUUAUGAUACUGCAAUGGCCAAUAUCACGACGCUUACAUCGAGGUUGGACGAACUUUUGGCAGAGAAUCAUAAAUUGCAAGAAACGACAGACGAAGCAAAUCGUAUUGCUAAACACCAUACUAAGGAAAAUCAAAGGCUGAAGACAGAGUUAUCAGACUUGGCACGACAAGUGUGCUUCUUACUGAAAGAAGUUCAGGAGAGUAGAAGUGGUAUAACUAUGCACUCAAAUGAUUUUUCGAACGCAAUGGAGAUAGACAACCUUGCUUCAUCAGAAAUUAUCAGUAAAAAGCUUGUCACAUUCAAAGAUAUUGAAGAAUUGCAAGAAAAUAACCAGAAAUUGUUAUCGAUAGUCCGUACAUUAUCAUCAAGGCAGGAAGAAAUUGAAAGAGCAACCGAUGAAAUAAAUUCUGGUGAAAUGAAAGAAAAAUUGGACAGAUAUCUAGAACAGUUAGAAGACAUGCAAACUGCCCAAGAUAGGCAAGCAAAAAUGUUGGAAGGCCUUCUAAGACAACGUGACAUGUAUAAAAAUAUGUACCAACAAUGUUUGAAGCAAACAAGUAUGUUGGAUAAAAAGGAGCUUUCUGUAGCACAGGAAGAUGAAGCAAAGGAUGUAGAUGGAGAGAAAUCUGUCAUCAACGAAUCGUCAAGAGCCACUCAGAAUAACGCCAAUACAGAAAAAGAAUUGAAAAAGCAAUUAGCCGAAUGUGAAGCUAAAUUAAAACAAUCUACAGACGAAUUUGAAACGUACAGACAGGAAAGAUCGGCUCAUGAACGAAUGUUAGGGGAAGAAGUUGAAAGGCUUAGAAAAGAAGCGGAAGCAAAUUCAACUCGUUGCUGUAGAUUGAAAGCACAGUUAGAUUCUGCAAACGAUAGGUUUAAUCUUCUGCAGGCAAACGUUACUUCUUACAGAUCUCAAAUAAAGGUGCUUGAAGAGAAAUGCUGUAAUUACAACGUAACAAUUGGUAAACAUGAACAAAGCUUAAUGAUUUUAAGAGAUGAAACCUUAGCGGCUCAAACGCGUUUGUCUCGUGCUGAAGUACAGUUAGAAAACAUGCGACAAGAGCGACAGCUUCUGCGUGAUUCAGAAAGUCGCCUUCUCAAGGAACGCGAAAUAUACCAGAGAGAACGUCAAACGCAAUCUCUAUUACGUGCAGAUGUCGAGUCCAUUAAAGCUAGUCUGGAGCGAGUUCAGGCCGAAGGUAAUCUGCGUGCAGAACAACGUUUGGAUGAUGCCAUAAGGGAGUGUGCAGCGUUGAGACGCCGAUUACAGGAAGAACAGGACCGAUUUAGAGAAUUGUCAACACAUUUGGAGAGGCAACUUGCCACAGCACAAGAAAGACUUGCAGAGGAACGCAAUGUAACGGAACAAAUUAGAGCUGAAUUGGAGCAGGCUCGUCAGUCUGAUUCUCAGAACACUCAGCGCAUAGAAGAACUGAAUACUAAACUUAGACAAGCCGUUACUCAUUCAAUAUCAAAGCCCUUCACUGGUGACGAAAAUCUCGUGAAGAGAUUAAAAGAAGUUGAAAUGCAGCUUGCGACCACACAGGCAGAAUCGAAAUCGUUGUCGGAACAAUUAAAAGCCGCGCGACAACAAAGCGAACAAUAUUGUAAUAUAGCUGAGAGUGCAGAGACGCAAUUAAGAGAACUAACCGCGCAGCAUAACAAAUGUAAAGAAGAAUUAGAAACCGCUUUGAAAGAAGCGCGUGUAGAAGUAAUGUCCUUGCAGAAAAGGGUGCAGGAGUUGGUAGAAGAAUUAGCAAAAGUUUCCAGUGGUAAACAAGAAACGGAUUCAGAGUUAAGAGCAAAAUUAGAUGAUGCAGAAAGAAAGCUUGAAGAAUUAGACGAAGUUAAAGGAGAAUUAGAGCUCUUUAAGAGUGAUUUGCAAAGCGCUUCAACAACUGCGAAAGAAGCUGAAGAAAAAUAUGCUAGAGAAAUGGUUUUACAUUCAGCAGAUCUUCAGACAUUAGCUAAGCUUAAAGAAGAAGCUCAAGUGGUAGAGCAGAAAAUUACAACAUUAACUCAAGAAAGAAAUGGCGCUGUAGAAGCUUUGGAAAUGGAGAGAUCAGCUUGUCAAGAAAGAGAGAAAAAAUUCCAAAAUGAGAUGCAGGAAAUGCAACAAAGGAUAGACGAUCUAGAUACACAAAAUGCCAUUUUACAUACACAAAUUCAAGAAUUAAGUGAUAAAACUGCGAUUAUGCACAGUCAGAAAACUAAGAUCAGCGGUCGGGAAAGUCCGGACACUAGCUUCGAAACACUGAAUCGUAGUUUCAGCAAACUGGAGGAUGACUCUAAAUCUCCGGAACAAUUGCUGAAAGUUAUGAAGUAUCUGAGACGUGAGAAAGAUUUGGCUGUAACGAAGUUUGAUGUUCUCAGAGCAGAAAAUCUUCGAUUGAAAUCACAAGUGGAGGUAUUGGAAAAAAGAUUAAAAGAAACAGUAUCACUUCUCAGCUCCGUAAGGGAGAAAUCCGAAAUCGAUGUAGUAACAACAUCUAAACACGCAGAGCUGCUACGGAAAGUUGAAACCUUGAAUGCGAUCACAGAUUCCAAUAGAAUUCUCAGGGAGGAAAGAGACAGUCUGGGUGGAAAGGUAGUAGAGCUUACCGCGAAAGUUGCGGCGCUUUCUGAAGAAGUGGGCCCGCUUCGGGACUCGACGCGAGACUUACAAGUGAAAACGGAAGCUUUAACACAAGAGAACACAAGUCUUAAAGCGGAAGCAACCAGAUGGAGACAGAGGGCUAACACAUUGGUAGAAAGAGCUAACAAAGCAAGUCCAGAAGACUGGCGUAGAUUGCAGACCGAACGUGAAAAUCUCAGCAAAUUACUCGCGUCUGAACGCGAAACGCACACUAAACGAGCAGAAGAAUUGAAUCAACUGAGAACAGAGAAGUCCAAACUGGACGAGCAAUUGAUACAGAUUCAGAAACAACUACAAGCCCAAGGAGAACAAAUUCAGAAAGGCUCUGAGGAAGUGCGCAAACUGGGUCAAGACUUGAACGAAGCACUUGCCGAUUCUAACACUAAGGCUAAAGAUCUGACAACGUUGAGAAAGGAACUUGCAGAUAAAGAAGCCGUUUUGAAUGAUAUUAAGAAUAAGGAGAUACAGAUUCGAAAAAUAGCGAAGAAAUAUAAGACCCAGUUUGAGGAACUAGCAAAGUCAGUGGAAGAAGAGAAGAGCAGAUCUGAAGAGUCUCGAAUUGCGGCUGGUACAUCCGGUAACGAAGAGACUUUGCAAGUGUCCCAAGAACGCGACGAUCAACUGCGAGAGGAGGGUCGGACGGAAUUACGCCAAGCGAACAUCGAGCUGACAACAAAAAUUGACGAAUUAUCUCGGCAAAUGGCUGCCGUGCAAAAUGAAGCUGAAGCAUUUAAAAAGGAAAUCGAUACGAUGAAUAAGACUAGCGUGGAGAAAGAAGAGCGUGCGAAACAAGUACUGAAAGGUGCUAGAACGAAAAUCAUGCAGUUGACAGAAUCAAAGAAGAUAUGUGAGAAAGAAUUGCUUGACCUAAAGUCGAAACUUGAGACAGGUGCUACUGAAUCAGAUACCGCUGAACAUGACGCUAGGCUGGUAGCACUUAAGUCUCAGAUGGAAGGUAGAAUCUCCCGUCUCGAACAUGAAAGAGCAGAAAUUCAGGCAGAGAAGGAAACUCUUUUACAAAGGGUUACUCAGUUGCAACGGCAAUUGGCUGGCGUCAGUGGAGUUAGUGCUACUACCGAACCGCCUACAGCCAACAUCAAGCCUAUGUCCGCGCGAGCUGAAACUCCAUUAGCAAGUAUUCGCCCGAUGAGCGUAGUUGUGCAGUCUAGAACAGCUGCAGUUUUACCCACAACUGCUAGUGCACCGGUAAUGGUAGCGCCUCAUCAGCAACAGCAGCCGCAGCAACAGGUAGUGCAUACUACCGAAACUAGCUCCCCAACCAGUAGUCUGCCAGAUUUUCAACCAGCUAGCACCAGUAGCUCGUCACAGACAGCACCCAGCACAUUACGUCAACUCGUUGUGCAGCCGCAGUUAAGCGAAUCAGCAGAAUCAACGCAAAGAGAGGACCCAGAAAGUGCCGAAACCCUGAAUGUACAGCAACAACAGUGUCAGCAGCAACAGCAACAGCAACAACAGCAAACUGUUGCGUUGGUCAGUCCAAGGGUCGAACAACAACAGCAGCAGCAACAACAACAGCAACCUGCAGCCAGCGAUCAACAACAGACUGUAGCCAGUAGUUCAACCCAGUCGGUGAGCACGUCCCAAGCGUCUACAGGACACAAACGCCCCAGGACUCUGGAUUCGACGGCAUCAGGAUCUGGAAUCGAGGGUAUAGAUCAUAGCAGGCAAGAACAGGCGCUUAGUCCCAAGGCCAAACGGACCAGGCAAGAAAUCGCGUCCACUGCCAGUGCUAGUGCUUCAGAGGUCGAGUACCAGGUACCAACGUCGAGCCAACGGGAUCAAGAUGAAGAAGUAGAAGAAGGGUGUGUAGUUGUAGUAGACUGUGAUGAAGGCGAGGGAGGAGGUAAUCAUCAAGCACAAGAAGAGGAAGAAUUUGAUAAUGAUCCGUAUGAAGAGAUGGAAGAGGAAGAAGAGAUGCCAUAUGAGGUUGAGGUAGAAGUAGAAAGGGAUAACAACGAAGUUGAAAUUAUCAUGGGCGAAGAUUCUACAAGUGUAGAAGUUCCUAGACAAGCACAAGUAACGGUACCUACAAAUCAGCAACAACAACAGUCUGAAGCGAUAAGUAGUGCGGGACCAACUGGAGAACCGCCCACGUCAUUUACAACACGAUCGUCGCGUGGAAUUGCACCCAUGCCUAGGCAACAGCAACAGCAACAUCUGCUUUUGCCUCAACAAGGAUACGAAGACGGGGGUGACGACAGUAUAGUACCAAGUACACCGACUCUGUUCGUUCCACGUCGUGGAGACGGAUUUGGAGAAGCUGUUAGUUCACCCCAAGUUCCACAAGGCCGUUUUACAUUUGGAGAUUCAUCUGCACCGACGACGGCGUCGCCAACGCCAUCCUUGUCUACUCCUUCGGGAUCAGCAGCUCGAACAAUAUUCGGUUCAUCGAGUUCCAGUGUGGCACAGGUGGUUCAAGAGAGUAUGGACGAUAGUAGAAUGGAUCUGCUUCAAUUAGAAGACGGCGGUACUGGUCGUAGUGUACCCACUACACCUUUACAAGUUUCGCCAGCAGCUGAUUUACCGCCUUCGACAAGCAGUGGACCAUCCGAAGAGCAGGAAACACCGGUUUCAGUGACACCCGUGUCUGUAACAGGUACCACAGUUGGUGACACUAGUGAAGAACCUGCGAUACCUAGUAUUCGUGUAGUCGGUGUCGAUGAUCAACAACAUAGUCAAACUGAAAUAAUCACAGAAUCUAUGACACCUACUGAAGGUAUGAGUUCCGAGAGUGAAAAACAUACAGAAGAAGCUGGUCCUGCAGUAUCUGGGGAAGAUGAUACGGUAGACACUGGUGAAGGAACUGAAGAACCUGGAAGUGAGGUGGUGGAGGAUGAAGUGGAGGAGGAGAACCGCGAGGCAGAAGCAUCCCCCUCUAGUAAUACACGUCAGAGAGCAAUGGCAGCUGCAGCUGCAGCUGCUGGGGUUGGAACCGCUGCAAAUGGCACCAGAAGUGCAACUGCAAGACGGUCUUCGCGAUCGCCGUUUAGAGCUCAACGUGGUUCUCGACCUACACCUAUUGUUUGGGAGAGCCAAUCUGGUAGGGGACAACCUGUAGUACGCGGAGGACAUGCGGCAAGGGGGUCAAACAAUGAAACCGGAAGAGGACGUGCAACCCGAGGACGUCGAAUGCGCUCCAAAUAUCCGUCGUACGCGCGAUUCUAAGAGUAGAAGUUGAUUUUGUAUACGAUGCCAUCUGAAAACUACGGAUCACUGUCUUCGUAAUGUCAUUUUUAUGUGGUUGUUGUUCGACUGUCAUCGACCAUUGGAGGGACUUUUAUGUGACGCAUUCGUACGUGAGACAUUUUUCAAACAUUAGUCGACUUUCACGCUUUUAGGCAGAGCCAUAUCAUAAACAUUUUUAAUGAAAAUAUUUUGUCAGAAUGUACAAGGAGUGUCUUAGUUUUUAAAGGUACGUUUUCUUUCUAUACGUUUUACAGAUUUAAUUGAAUCCUACGUAGCUUCCACGUGUCGGUGAUAAAUAUUAAUAAAUACCUAUGAUUUACAAAACGCCUACUCGAAUAGAGUUCGAUAUCGAUUACGAAAUUAUCAUAAAUACGAGGUACCGAGGCCCGGUACAAAUAUAAUACAAUGUAUAUUUUAUAUUCUCUACAUCAGUCUCUUGUCUGAUUUAACAUAUUGCCAACGAUAUUUAAUUAAUACUUUUCGAAUACUUAACAUGUACCGCGUUAUUCCGUGAAAGUAUUUUAAAUUACCGGCAAGAAUAUAUAAAUACUGAGACGCGUAAAUGUAUCUAAUAACUCACACACGUUUCAAUAAUAUGAUAGUUCCGAUGUUGUCAUGUCAUUAAAAUAAUAUCACAACGGCAAAUAAAUAAGCUCUUUGCUAGAGAUUUUACCGUAACUUCUAACAUAUAUUAAUACGUUCUGGUCCCCUUUUCAUUUCGAUGAACUACUCAGUUAAUAGCAAUAAAUAUGACUAGCUAAAUGGAUUAUUUACAUAU